GUUAAAGUCCAGAAAGGAAAUAAGAUAAUAGUAUAGGCAAAUGAUAUAAAAUAUCAUUGUGGCAAAUUGUGUAUAUAUUGAGGCAUUGUAGUUAUAAUUGAUUACUCGCAUUUCUGUUAUAGAGAUAGAUGUUUUGUUAGUAUCAUUAUUUACUAAUGCUUACUUUGAACCGAGUAAGUGUAGAGUGUUACUUUCUGUUGUUGUAUAUAUCCACUGAAAACUUAUUUUAAG
rnacentral:lncRNA from 1 species